AGACACCCUUCUGGGGCAAGACUUGCUUCAGUGGGGCUUUGGUGCUCACUGAGUCUGCCCCCUGAAUGUUGCCCU
rnacentral:pre_miRNA from 1 species